rnacentral:rRNA from 1 species
GAUGAACGCUGGCGGCGUGCCUAACACAUGCAAGUCGAGCGAAGCGAUUUGGCGGAAGUUUUCGGAUGGAAGCUAAAUUGACUGAGCGGCGACGGGUGAGUAACGCGUGGGUAACCUGCCUCAUACAGGGGGAUAACAGUUAGAAAUGACUGCUAAUACCGCAUAAUGCAACGGAAUCGCAUGACUCUGUUGCCAAAGAUUUAUCGCUCUGAGAUGGCCUCGCGUCUGAUUAGCUAGUUGGCGGGGUAACGGCCCACCAAGGCGACGAUCAGUAGCCGGACUGAGAGGUUGGCCGGCCACAUUGGGACUGAGACACGGCCCAG